ACGUACUUGAUCUUUUUCUUUGUUUGUAUUGAGUCAAAUUUAUUAAAUAGAUGUAAUAUAAUUGUCAGGUGAGCCGGGACAGCCUUUUUCCUCCGCCCAGCCGCCACAGUGAUUGUCGUCAAGUUUGCCACAGGAGGAGUUAUUUUACAGAGCAACCUGUUUUCUUCCUCGCAGGUUUAACGUCAAUUAUUUAAUUGUUUUACUAUCUUUUCUAAAUUAAAAAUCUAGAACUCCGCAUGUGUUAGAAAUAGUGUGGACCUUGGUAGAGGUUGUGUGAACUUAAAUUUUUAAGAUUAAUAAAUGAAGAUUUGUAUGGUAUUUAAA